rnacentral:rRNA from 1 species
AGAGUUUGAUCCUGGCUCAGGAUGAACGCUGGCGGCGCGCCUAACACAUGCAAGUCGAACGGCACCCCUCUCCGGAGGGAAGCGAGUGGCGAACGGCUGAGUAACACGUGGAGAACCUGCCCCCUCCCCCGGGAUAGCCGCCCGAAAGGACGGGUAAUACCGGAUACCCCCGGGCGCCGCAUGGCGCCCGGGCUAAAGCCCCGACGGGAGGGGAUGGCUCCGCGGCCCAUCAGGUAGACGGCGGGGUGACGGCCCACCGUGCCGACAACGGGUAGCCGGGUUGAGAGACCGACCGGCCAGAUUGGGACUGAGACACGGCCCAGACUCCUACGGGAGGCAGCAGUGGGGAAUAUUGCACAAUGGGGGAAACCCUGAUGCAGCGACGCCGCGUGAAGGAAGAAGUAUCUCGGUAUGUAAACUUCUAUCAGCAGGGAAGAAAAUGACGGUACCUGACUAAGAAGCCCCGGCUAACUACGUGCCAGCAGCCGCGGUAAUACGUAGGGGGCAAGCGUUAUCCGGAUUUACUGGGUGUAAAGGGAGCGUAGACGGAUGGACAAGUCUGAUGUGAAAGGCUGGGGCUCAACCCCGGGACUGCAUUGGAAACUGCCCGUCUUGAGUGCCGGAGAGGUAAGCGGAAUUCCUAGUGUAGCGGUGAAAUGCGUAGAUAUUAGGAGGAACACCAGUGGCGAAGGCGGCUUACUGGACGGUAACUGACGUUGAGGCUCGAAAGCGUGGGGAGCAAACGGGAUUAGAUACCCUGGUAGUCCACGCGGUAAACGCUUAAAGGGAGGUGUCGGGUGACGAAGUCAUUCGGUGCCGCAGCAAACGCAUUAAG